ACAGCAAAUAGCAGGUCAAGUUUCAAACAUGUGACUUGCUCAUUAAGUAUAUUUAAAUAGCAUGUAGUGAGUUAGAAAUCCCCAUCAGAAUCAGAUUCUCCAGGAUACCAGAGAAAGGCUGACUUCUCAACCUUCGAAAACAAAGCAAAACAAAAAAAUCAAAAGCAGACAAAAAUGAUGUUCAAGGCACUCAUCACCAGCCUGCUCCUCGUGUUUAUUCACAUUACGGGAACAGUUUCAACAUCUACGACCUCAGUUUCUAUGAGCCCGAAUUCCAGCAUGAGCCCAAACCCCAAGACAAACCAAAGUCUUGGGACCAAGCAUAAUCCUAUGAGAAGUCCAGAUAUCAAGAAUCCCAAGAUGACUCAGAGUCCCAAGAUGACUCAGAGUUCCAAGAUGACUCAGAGUUCCAAGAUGAUCCCGAGUUCCAAGAUGACCCCGAGUUCCAAGAUGACCCCGAGUUCCAAGAUGACCCCGAGUUCCAAGAUGAUCCCGAGUUCCAAGAUGAUCUCGAGUUCCAAGAUGACCCCAAAUCCCAAAACAAACCAAACAUCAGCAAUAACCCCAAAGACAGUUACAACUCAGCCGACAAUGAAUGUAAUAAAUGGUAGCACAAUACUCAAUGCAAUGCUCAACAUUCACUUUCUUUCCUAUGUAGGCUUUUUACUAUUUUGUGUGUAUUCAGGCUGAAGUGAACCUGUUGAACAGCCUACAUUUUUAUCUUGGUUCCUUAUUAUCUGCUGAAUGAUAAGCACACUAGGAAAAUAAAAUUUAUUUCAACUUACUAUUUAAGAAAUUAUCAUUAUCCUGGUAUGGUUUGGUUGUUUGCAGAUUUUAACUAUAUAAGUUUAAACAUUAUAUGAUAGUUUCCGUCCUUAUAAAAAAGUAUGUACUUACUUCCUUAUUAAAUGCCAAAAUAAGCAAAAUACCACAUUUGUCUUUUAAAUGUUUGCAAAAUUCAAUUGAAACUCAGAUGUUUAUAUUAAAGGUAUAAGAGAAAAAACUAUGUAGGUGGUAUUUAACCAAAGAGGAUUGGGGAUAUAGAGGAUAAGGGAUAGGAGUGGUUUGAAGCAAGUUGUUGUAUGUAUUGCCUAGUUUUUUAAAAAGUAGAUCAAAAAGUGCUAAGCUGGUAACGAGAAAUAACAGUCCUUUACAAAAACAACAGUCCUUUACUGGGUUGAGGUUGUGGCUCAGUUGUAGAGUGCUUGCCUAGCAUGUGUGAGAUACUGGGUUUGAUUCUCAGUACCACAUAUAGAUUAAUAAAUAAAGGUCCAUCAACAACUAAAACAAUACUUUAAAACAACAUCAUUAUUUUGUGAAUGUGUAUUAGUAAUAUGUCAUCCAGUAAAAAAGCAUGCCAACUCUGCUAAUGAUUCAAUUUUAAAAUUAUCUUAUUUUGAGUAAACCCUUGUCUUGUGUUUCAAAAGACCAUUUGUAAAUCAGAUACUUAGGAUCCAAAAUUCAUUUUCUCCACAGAAAUGUUUAGAUUUUCAUGCCCAUCUACAAAGAUUAAUUUAAACCCCAAAACAGUAUAAAACAGUAAUAACCAUGUUAUUAAUAGUCCAAUUGUUACAAGUUUUGGUUUGGAUUUAGAACCCAAUUCUGAUUUUUACUAGCUGUGCUACCAGGGUUUAAAUGUGUGACCCAGCAGGAUUCCCAAGCAAGCUUCAAUAGUAAACUGACUAUAAAUGAGUCAUGAGAGGGGCCUAUUGAAUACAUAGGAUUUGCUCCUCAGCCCAGGGAGGAGUGUAGGGAUCUAUUUAAUUUUUCAGAUUAUUUUGAUAGGUGGUUUGGGUUUCAAUUUAUACACAUGUCAAUUACUGUUAACACUACUGAAGGUCAUUUAUUGUAAGAACAAAGCGAUAAAUUAUAUAGCAUGCACAGUUUAUCUAAUGCAAAGAAAGCACUCAGUAAUGUUAACUAUUAUCAUUAUUAAUAUCAUCAAAAAGUAAUUGCCAAGUACCAUAACAUUCCAAAGAGGAAAACUCUUCAUUCUAACUUUUAGAUUUUAUAUUUUAAAUUAUUCUUACAAAAAUAAUAUGCGCUCCUGGCAACAAGUGAAAAAAUAUAGACAUGCAACAGAAAUAUAAUUGGCCCCUUACCUUCUCCAAGCAUAUUCACUCCCGAGAUAAGUAACAUCAAAGCAUGUGUGUGUGCACUCGCGCCUGUGUAUAUUGCUGGAGAAUGAACCCAGACCCAUGUUAAGUAUUCGCUCUACCACUAAGCAAUACCCCCAGUCUGAUGUGAAUAGUUUCACAUAUUUUUCAGUUCAUACAUACACAUUUACAUGUACUUGCAUACACAUUCAUUCACAGUACUCGUACCUUAUUAAGUGACGGAGUCAUCUUUCUGGUUCUUUUUUUUUUUUCUAACACAUACAUAUUUUUUUAGUUGUCAAUGAAUACUUAUAUGUGGUGCUGAGAAUAGAACACAGUACCUUACACAUGCUAGGUAAGUUCUCUACCGCAGUGUCUUUCUGGGUCUUCUUAAAGCUGCAUGUAGAGAACUGCAAAAUGGAUGCUUUCCCAGCAUCCAUUUAACCCCUUCUGGUAUCAGCAAUCCAAUUUUCUUUUGUGAAACCCUGCUCUCACACUUGUCUUUCCGUUCAUGCAAUUCAGGUCUGGCUGGUUUCACCACUGAACUCUAGAAAUGAGCACAUGAUCCAGGCCUAGAUAACCAAGAAAUUCUAUCCCUCUUGCCUAGUGAUCGCCUCAGGGACUCAAGUCAGGCCAUAAAACCAACUACUUUUGCUGAAAUUACUGGGAAAGAGGUAUUUUUCCAUUGGGGUUGUUAAGCGGUGAGCACAUAAACCACUGCUGACUGCAGCUGGGGAAGAGAUUCUUGAGAAUAAAACCACAUGAAGAAAGGAGAGUCAAGAACUAGAGAAGGCAUGUUCCCCAGAUGUGCAUCUAGUCUCUUGAUCAUCUUAUGUACAUGUGCAAAUAAAGUCCCUUUUUUGUUUAUACAAAUUUAAAUUGUAUUGUCACUUAAGCAAAAUUAAUAACACACUGCACUAGUCCACGGUCUAUAUUUAUAUUUAUUCAACUGUGAUAGUCAAGCCAAAGUGACUCCAUUUUGUUUAGUAACUCUAUUUUGUAAAACAACCAUGCCAAGUACAAGGGUCAUGACCAGGGCAAGAUGUUCUUUUCCUUUUGCUAUAGAAACCUUUAAGAACACGGAAUGACCUAAUGGGGCACUGUUUCUGUAACUAGGGUAAUGGGGCUCUGUUUCUGUAUCUGGGGUGAGUGGGCUAACUGUGAUUGGCUAAGCGUCCCCACCACCUGACUGCACUCUCCCACUUCUGUAAUUUGGCUUGCUUACAUUGGCUGGAUCCCCAAACGUCCCUUUUGUGGUUUUCAGGCUUACAGGGAAUGCCCUUGCAAUUGUUCAGGGCUGAUCAGGGGGAACAGCUUUAUGUUCUGGUCAGUCGCCACCAGUGUGCUUCAAUAAAGGCUUGAUUGGAUUAUA